rnacentral:rRNA from 1 species
UACGUAGGCAGCGAGCGUUGUUCGGAGUUACUGGGCGUAAAGGGUGUGUAGGCGGUUGUUUAAGUUUGGUGUGAAAUCUCCCGGCUCAACUGGGAGGUGCGCCGAAUACUGAAUGACUUCGAGUGCGGGAGAGGAGAGUGGAAUUCCUGGUGGUAGCGGUGAAAUGCGUAGAUAUCAGGAGGAACACCGGUGGUGUAGACGGCUCUCUGGACCGUAACUGACGCUGAGACACGAAAGCGUGGGUAGCAAACAGG